rnacentral:lncRNA from 1 species
GUGAGACAGAUGAACCUUGAAAACGGUAUGCUAAGUGAAAGAAGCCAGAACCAGCAGGCCACAGAAGGUUGUGACUUCAAUAUACCCUCUCAUGAGACCUUUCCUGGCCCCUUAUCUGUGGAGGAGGCACGUGACCCACAUGGUCUGGCCACUGAUGACUGAACAAGCUAUGGACACCGGACCCCGGAGAGACCAUUCACUCACUGGCCACGAACAUGAGUUCAGAUACAUGCCCCAAAAGGAUGAGCCUGGGUACUGGAUUCCCUCCCUCAGAAACGUGAAUCAAGAGACACAGGAUGUUCCUGUUGGUCCAGAUACUUGAGCUAAAAGCUGGUUCUGCAAUCAGCAGCCCCUCCAGACAUCCCUGGGAGGCUCCAAGGAGCUGACUCCUGAUGAGGAAAAGGAUCAGCCGCAGACUCACUCCUCCUCCAGCCACUUCCAGACCCACGGGAGGCGUGGGUGUGACCCAGACUACCUGGGAGCAUCUGCUUUUGUCUUUAUCCAGGGCAGGACCCUCUGAAGGAGGAGCCCUCAGAGAAGAAGGGAAAAGCCAAAAGGAAUUAAAAGCCAAUUUCCAAAUGGAAA